UCCGAAUUGGUGUAGUGGCUAACAUUUGACGCUCUCAUCUCGUUUCGAGUGAUCCGUCAAGCCCGGGGUUCGAUUCCCCGAUUCGGAG